rnacentral:rRNA from 1 species
GGUAUUGAUUGGUGCUUGCAUCAUGAUUUACAUUUGAGUGAGUGGCGAACUGGUGAGUAACACGUGGGAAACCUGCCCAGAAGCGGGGGAUAACACCUGGAAACAGAUGCUAAUACCGCAUAACAACUUGGACCGCAUGGUCCGAGCUUGAAAGAUGGCUUCGGCUAUCACUUUUGGAUGGUCCCGCGGCGUAUUAGCUAGAUGGUGGGGUAACGGCUCACCAUGGCAAUGAUACGUAGCCGACCUGAGAGGGUAAUCGGCCACAUUGGGACUGAGACACGGCCCAAACUCCUACGGGAGGCAGCAGUAGGGAAUCUUCCACAAUGGACGAAAGUCUGAUGGAGCAACGCCGCGUGAGUGAAGAAGGGUUUCGGCUCGUAAAACUCUGUUGUUAAAGAAGAACAUAUCUGAGAGUAACUGUUCAGGUAUUGACGGUAUUUAACCAGAAAGCCACGGCUAACUACGUGCCAGCAGCCGCGGUAAUACGUAGGUGGCAAGCGUUGUCCGGAUUUAUUGGGCGUAAAGCGAGCGCAGGCGGUUUUUUAAGUCUGAUGUGAAAGCCUUCGGCUCAACCGAAGAAGUGCAUCGGAAACUGGGAAACUUGAGUGCAGAAGAGGACAGUGGAACUCCAUGUGUAGCGGUGAAAUGCGUAGAUAUAUGGAAGAACACCAGUGGCGAAGGCGGCUGUCUGGUCUGUAACUGACGCUGAGGCUCGAAAGUAUGGGUAGCAAACAGGAUUAGAUACCCUGGUAGUCCAUACCGUAAACGAUGAAUGCUAAGUGUUGGAGGGUUUCCGCCCUUCAGUGCUGCAGCUAACGCAUUAAGCAUUCCGCCUGGGGAGUACGGCCGCAAGGCUGAAACUCAAAGGAAUUGACGGGGGCCCGCACAAGCGGUGGAGCAUGUGGUUUAAUUCGAAGCUACGCGAAGAACCUUACCAGGUCUUGACAUACUAUGCAAAUCUAAGAGAUUAGACGUUCCCUUCGGGGACAUGGAUACAGGUGGUGCAUGGUUGUCGUCAGCUCGUGUCGUGAGAUGUUGGGUUAAGUCCCGCAACGAGCGCAACCCUUAUUAUCAGUUGCCAGCAUUAAGUUGGGCACUCUGGUGAGACUGCCGGUGACAAACCGGAGGAAGGUGGGGAUGACGUCAAAUCAUCAUGCCCCUUAUGACCUGGGCUACACACGUGCUACAAUGGAUGGUACAACGAGUUGCGAACUCGCGAGAGUAAGCUAAUCUCUUAAAGCCAUUCUCAGUUCGGAUUGUAGGCUGCAACUCGCCUACAUGAAGUCGGAAUCGCUAGUAAUCGCGGAUCAGCAUGCCGCGGUGAAUACGUUCCCGGGCCUUGUACACACCGCCCGUCACACCAUGAGAGUUUGUAACACCCAAAGUCGGUGGGG